rnacentral:rRNA from 1 species
GUGGAUUAGAUACCCUGGUAGUCCACGCCGUAAACGAUGCUAACUCGUUUUUGGUAUUUCGGUAUCAGAGACCAAGCGAAAGUGAUAAGUUAGCCACCUGGGGAGUACGUUCGCAAGAAUGAAACUCAAAGGAAUUGACGGGGGCCCGCACAAGCGGUGGAUUAUGUGGUUUAAUUCGAUGAUACGCGAGGAACCUUACCAAGGCUUAAAUGGGAAAUGACAGAUUUAGAAAUAGAUCCUUCUUCGGACAUUUUUCAAGGUGCUGCAUGGUCGUCGACAACU